ensembl:misc_RNA 7SK 7SK RNA
GAAUGUGAUAGAAAUCUGGCUAGGACAUCUGUUACCCCAUUGAUGGCCAGGCCUGGCUGGCUAGGCGUGUAUCUCUUCCUCCCUCACCAUUGCCUGUGAAUUCCUGCACAAGCUGAGCUCUCCGUUGAAGAGGACACCAGCCUUGAAAAGAGACAAAUCUGUGGAGGCUAUAGGAUUAGUUGUGUUCCCCUGAUACAACGUCCAAACAAGCUCUCAUAUUAUCCAUUUUUACCAAAUAACCAUUUUGAACCAAUUAGCCAUCUCAAGUAUUCAAAAGCUCUUAUAUCUUCACCUUAAAAUUUCAUACUUUUGAU